rnacentral:misc_RNA from 1 species
UAUACUCAUUAUUUAUGAAGAAAAAUGCAUAAGUACUCUUCUCAAUAUAAAGUUGCUGCAUUCUACUUUGUUUGGCAAUUGGGCUUUAAUUUCCAAAAAGAAUUCUGGCAUGUCCAAUCUAAUAUGAUAUCUAAAUUAUGAGUAUCUUCAUCCAUGCAUAUUAUAGUUAGGAGUUUCACUCAUUUAAUUGAUAUGUUCUUUUGAUAGUUGUCAAACUAUUGAAGGGUCUUAUCCAAAAUUAUGGUACAUCCUUCUCCAUUUUUUGCCUUGUAGUUGGAUUGAAAUUGUAGUCAAUAGUCAGCUAAAAAGUGUGGUACUUGAGUUAACCCCUCAUUCAUAUGACUACCUGCUUGCUUAACUGAACCAUUCAGACUGGUAAAUCUGUUCUAGGAACCACAUAGUCUACAAAGGCUUACUGAAAUGAUGGAAUCUGGUUACUUCAGUGCUUAGUGUUGCAUAUGCUGUCUUGGAUUAUCUGAAUAUUUCUGUCUGUUUCAUUUUUGUUUGUUAUUCCAUCGAGAUAACUAAGCAUAUUGUGUUUUCUAGAGUUCAAAGUCCGUCAUUUGCAUUUUGCAGAGAUACAUGGCCGAUAUUGGA